GCCAGGGCCACACACAAAUGAGUCGAGGAGGAAAAAGGAGGUGAGAAAGCAGAGAACACAUAAACGCCUAUCCUCUUCCUGCCAGGCCCAAGCCCGAGGAAUUCAGAAUCUAAAACACCAGCACUGUAGCCUUCAUGAUUGGUUCCAUGUUGGAAAUAGUUCCAGCUUUCCUCUUCAGUAUCCCCAUAGGUUAAGGAUAAAACAACGGACUUCCUAUGUUACUUUUAACAAUUCUUAGGAGGCUCCAGACCCAGAACCACCCCCUCUCCUACUCUUGAAGAUAUGAGAGUACCAGUUCUGAAGAAGUGCAAACACUUGUCAAUUCUUGGAAAAGUGAUUCAAUGCAUAAUCUUCAUUUCCGUCUGGUGUGUCCUAUCAAAAUGCUGGCCUCCUGAUUUAAUAAGAUAGUAGUAUGAUGCUACAUUUCUUUGUUUUGUUAACCUAAAUACCUGGUUCUUCUUGACAACUACGCAUUCUGCUAUAUGUUGUGAUGACCAGAAGAGCCAUUCUGCACUUUCAUUUGGAGGACUCCUACUUGGAACACAAGCUACAAAGGAAUUCCCUAUCAGAGUGUCAGCACUUCACUUGGAAGUUUAAGGUAUUCCUGCUCAACAACAGCAUAUCCACUAAGAAUCAGUGGCUCGACCAUCGACUAGUCGAAGACUCUGGGUAGACUUCCUGCCUGCUGAGGAGCCAGGAUGGGAUCAGGUGACAGACAGCGACAGGAACCAGGUGGAGACGUCUGGGCAGGGCUAGGGUGCUAUCUUAAAACUUCAGAGCAAAGGGAGGUGUGAGUGAAUGCAGAAAAUAUUCUGCAUGGGCCUAUGGAUUACGGAGAGAACAUAGUAUUUCCUAGGAUAACAAAUUAAAUUAUUCUUUUUUUUGCUGAAGAUGUGGCUGAAGCAUUGAGAAACUGUAAGUCCAGAAAGUCACUGGGCACAUGGGACAAGAGCCCUCUUUCAAGAGCUCUGUGAAGAGCCACAAGAACACAGGCAGUCAAGUCCUUGGCCCUGUUGUGUGAUUAUGGGAGAAGAUGUGGUUGCUUUUGAACACCCACCAGAUAAAGGCUCUUUCAAAUGCACCUUUAUAGGACCUGGGCCUCAUCCUGGAGCUGUCUUGCCUGGUGUAGGUUCUCCCCGGAUUCCUGCUUCUACAGCUCCCGCUCAGUGGGCUUGUUCCUCCUCACGAGUGAAACUCUUCAUAAGGAACAUUUCCUCUUGCUGUGUCCUCGUUCUCUGCCUAACAGCCACACAUCUGUUACAAAACAAAACAGAACAAAAGAUUUAAUAUCAUAAAAUAUACAAAAGUGUCAUGUAAGUAAUAAGUUGAUUCCUAAGCGUUAUUGCUAUUACUAAUAAUACAUAGUCUGUUAGUUUCAAUAUACGUGUGUCAAGCCCAUUUUAAGUGUUGAGUGCUGUGCUGAGUGUUGGUUCAUAAAUGUGAACAAGACAUGCUCACUCACAGUCUAGUGGAGAAGGCAAACACGCCAUCUUCCUCAGACUGGGCUCAGCAGUGAUCGAUUGCACGGCCGAGUUGAGAGGGUGCGGUGCAAUCUGCCCUGAAGCUCCCCACCCCCACAGCCCCUCAGUACUGCUGCAGAGCUCCCCACGGUGCUCACAAGAGAAGGGGGGCACCAGGAGGUGGGCACAGUCACUUCUCGCUCUCACUCUACUUCCAAGGUGACUAUGCCCUGCUCUCUCUCACUCUACUUGAAGAGCAGCCAGACACUUUUAUUUUUAUUUUUUAUUUUUCAAAGCACAAGCAGCACACAGCAAAGGCCAGGGCUCUGAGCGGAGGAGGCUGUGCCCCCAUGCCUGCCUCCAGGACCAGGGGUCAUUUCACCUGCAGAUAAACAGAACCAUGUGCCUUGAAGUCUCUCCAGGAUGUGUGGGUUCUGUCAAGAUUAGGACCAGCUGUGGACACUGGGAGAAGCUUCUGAUCCUGCCAUGAAAGUAGAUUCUGAAACUUUGGUGGGAAAAGGCGGUAUGAAGGGGGACUGUAGUCACGUUUCUCAGAUCAAUCUGCGUAAAUUCCCUUAAGGGUCUCACGAAAGCAGACACGUUGAAUGACGAAAGUGGGGGAAAAAGUGGUUACGAUUGGGGUUGUUGAGCGGCAGGUGAGACCCAACUCUCCCUGGACAGACACUUACCAGUCUUUGCCCAGGUCCUAAAUGGGCCCAGUCCUCACUUACCACCUACCUCUUAAAGCAAAUGGUCAACAGGAAGGAGAGUGUGGGGUGAGGGCAAAAGGGAAAUCUUUGUCAGCUGUGUAGAUUUGAAAAAUUGCUAAAGAACUAUUUUCCCUCUUCCCAGGCAUUUCAGAACUUUGGGGAAAGGACAGAUAAUUCAAUAAAUGGUGUCAGGACAAAAGGCCAGACAUUUGGAGUCGGGAGGUUAAAUGUUUACUCACUUGUGUGCCAAGAGAAUUUCCACAUGGAUUAGAUGUAAAAUGUAAAAUACAGACCCAUAAAAGGCCCAGAAGAACAUAUGGAUUAAUAUUUUUAUAAUCUUGGCAUAGCAAAGGCUUUUCUAACCAUGGUAACAAAAGCAGAAACAAUAAAGAAAAAAAAUUAAAAUCCAGCACUUCUGUGUGGCCAAAACCCCACUAAAUGAAGUUAACACAGGACCAGCUGGGAAAAUAUUAGCAACUAACUUAUUUAAAGACAACAUAUAGAUCAUUGAGAAAAAGACAUUUUGGCAGAAAUAUGGCAAAGGACACCAACUUGCAUACACACAAAAAAAAAAAAUUGAAGAAAGAUACUCAGAUGCAGUAUUCAUUUUUUUAAAAUGCCAAUUGAAACAAAGAAAAUUUCCCCCCUACCUACUGAAUGGCCAGAUUGCAAAGGGGACAGGGGAAAUGGACAUCUGCGUCCCUGUGUACAUCGAGACAACCAUUCUGAUUAGACACUGGCAAUAUGUAUCUAAAGUCCUAAAAAUGUACAUAUUAUUAAUACUUCUAGAGUUUUUUCCUCAGGAAAAUCCCCAGAUUAUUAUAUACUAAGCGUGGAAUGGAAGCUGUGGGGUCCAGGUCUCUGAAGUGGGUUAUUGACUCUCAGUUCC